rnacentral:tRNA from 1 species
GCCCAGCUGGCUCAGUCGGGGGAGCAUGGGAUUCUUGAUCUCAGGGUGGUGAGUUCGAGCCCCACGUUGGGUG